CUUUUCUUGUAUAGUAUAAGAAGUAUAACCUGCCCAAUGAAUUUUAAAUGGCCGCGGUAUUUUGACCGUGCAAAGGUAGCAUAAUCAUUAGUCUUUUAAUUGAGGACUGGAAUGAAUGGUUUGACGAGAUAAAAGCUGUCUUUAAGUUAUUUUAUAUAAUUUAAUUUUUAAGUAAAAAAGCUUAAAUAUUUUUAUGGGACGAGAAGACCCUAUAGAGUUUAAUAUUUAUUAGUAUUAUUUUGUAUUUAAUUAUAUUAAUAUUAGUAGUUAUUUGAUUGGGGUGAUAAUGAGAUAAAUAAAACUCUUUUUAAUUAAUAAUUACAUAUUUGUAUAGUUUUGAUCCAUUAUUAGUGAUUAUAAGACUAAAUUACCUUAGGGAUAACAGCGUUAUCUUUUUUGAGAGUUCUUAUUGACAAAAAGGAUUGCGACCUCGAUGUUGGAUUAAGAUUAUCUUUAGGUGUAGAAGCUUAUUAGAUGAGUCUGUUCGACUCUUAAAUUCUUACA
rnacentral:rRNA from 1 species